GCUUGUGUAGAUCAUUUGGUAAAGACUCCGCACUGUCUAUGCGGAAAAGCGGGUUCGAUUCCCGUCACAGGCGCCA
rnacentral:tRNA from 1 species